rnacentral:misc_RNA from 1 species
UGAAUCUGUUGUGUUGUGUACA